rnacentral:rRNA from 1 species
AAUGUAGAGUUUGAUCCUGGCUCAGGACGAACGCUGGCGGCGUGCCUAAUGCAUGCAAGUCGAACGCAGCAGGCGUGCCUGGCUGCGUGGCGAACGGCUGAGGAACACGUGGGUGACCUG